rnacentral:misc_RNA from 1 species
UCUCCGUUGGUGAACCAGCGGAGGGAUCAUUACAGGACUCGCAAGACUCCUACAACCCUGUGAACUUAACUAUAAGCACGUUGCUUCGGCGGGUGUCUCGGAGGGGGUUCUCCCUCCCCGAGACGCUAAACCCGCCGGCAGCCUACUAUACUCUGUCUCUUUGCGUUGGCAUCUCGAGUACAAUCAAGCAAGUUAAAACUUUCAACAACGGAUCUCUUGGUUCUG